AUCAUUAAAGAUGCGGGAGGCCGUACGGCUUUGCUGCUUAUAAAUAGCUCGUACUUGCCUAAAGAUUGUAUUUAUUUCCGCCGACAGCUAUUCGAUUGUAGUAUUCCGCGAUCACGGUGGCUUGCGCGCUUUUAGUUGCAAUCUCAAGCGGUCAUCGAAAACGCGCGUACAUGCGGAUUUGCCGCCGAACUGACACUCUUGAAAUUAUUUGCAGGAUUUUUCGCCGACCUACCCCCGGAAGAGCGUGACAAUUACGUCAUACCGCCGCCUUCGGAGGACAACGAUGUGCCAGAAGGGCGCGACUGGCGCACCGAGGGCCGGCAGAUACGGGGCCGCAGCCACAGCAGUGGUGGCCGGGUGCUACAUGGAGAGUCGGGGGAGCUGCACCCAGAAGGGGCAUUGGAGGCAGAAAACCCUGUCAACCUGGCCAGGGCCAGGGAGGAGCGCAAGUGUUUUGGACCCAUUGGUGCGGCCAGAGAUAAGUGCGGCUCACAACCGCAGCAUCAACAACCAUCGUUGUUGGAAUGGUCUGGUAUUCCUCGCGGCCAAAACCUUUUCUAAGAAAAUAAACAGACGGCACAAGUGCCUGUGUAAACAAAAAAGUUUGAUGCCUAUGUUGCUGUUAUCUAGAGUGCUUGGUUGUUAAAAUCAACUCUGGAAUGAAUGCGUUGCAGAAAUGGAGGUGACUUGUGAAAUUUGAGGUAUGUUGCCACCUUUCGGAACAGAUUUCUUAAAAUAAAAAGAAGCCAUGCAAGAAAAAAGGGCAAAAGGGAUUAUGACCCUCCCCAUUAAAAAAAUAUUCAAAUGAAGCAAUGUUUCGACAUUGCCUUCAUUAAUUAUUGGUCAACAGACCUUAAUGUCUAAAGGAGUAUACUGUUUUAUCGAAAUAUACAGUGAAGUUAUUGAUUUUAAGUAACAAGAAAUUGCACAGAAGGAAGUUAAAGUUCGGGCACUGUACAGAGACGUUCACUGGCAAUUAAAAAAUUGUCUGACUUGUCAACUAAACAGUCAGAAAUGCAAUUUUCUUUUCUUAAUGGCUUGAGUGUUUCGAGUUGAACUAUAAAAGCUACUUCUAAUAAAAGAUACAAGUAUCUCAAAAGGUGGUGGCAUACCUUGUGUAAAUUUGCUGUAGUGCUUUGCUAGGUUGUGACAUGCAUUGCAGGACACCUGGUUCACACCACAGCAGCUGGCUAUUAGCAUCAGCCAAGGCUCCUCUAGCAUACAGUCCAUAGUGCAGUGUCUAUAGCGCAAAAUUUGCAGAAUUAAUCAGUGGGGUCUGUUCUUGCAAGGCUGCCAGUGUUUGAACAAGAGUGUUGGCAUUCUAGGCAUAACACACUUUCUUAAGACCAGCCUGAUGCACAUUACAAGGAGCUCGGUCAUCAUUGUGCCCUGAUAGCGAGGCUGUUGGCAACCGUGGGUUGAAUGCGAAACCAUGACGCAGCACUCUGCGUAAGAGGUUCUGCACAGGUGAUUCGAAAGACUUUAUAACAGGAAAACUGAGCUUUGUGAACCAAAUACUCGAGAGUGCAGUAAGCUUAACAAAUGACCAAAGCUAAAUGGUUUUUUUCGGAUGUCCGGUCAGAAACAUGUGACAUCAGUGUUGCAAGUUAAACUUUUAGUAGAAAGCUUCAGAGUUUUGCAUGAGUUCAAUUUUACAUCCACUUCUACCGCUACCUCAAUAUUUCCUUUGUCAUUGAGUGUACUUUAACUGACCAUUUACUGCAUAUUCUCGGGAAUGUCACACUGGCCUAUUUGCACAAUUAAAAUGAUCUCGUACAUUUUUGCGCCAUCCAUGUCAGUGAGUUAAGUGCUAGUCAUAUUUUGUUAUUUCAAUACCGUGAUUACUCACUUGAGUGCCUUUUAUUUACAACUAUUUUGUGAAUCUUCACAGGGUUAACUGUAUCAGUAUUUUUUUUUUUUAAGUCUGAAGCGUACAUGUGUGAAUCUGUGUUCACAGGACGACAGGUAGUUGAGAGGAAAGUUAAAUUCAUUGGGAAGUAAGACGGUGGUUCAGCCUAUGGGACUGUGCAAUUUCGCAUAGAUGUUGGGAGAGUCGCAAUAUGCGAGUGCAACACAAAUGCACAAGAACGCAUUUCAUCAUAGGCUGAAGAAAACACGCACUUUGUGUUCAGUUCCCACUGCUUUUCCAGUAAAGUAUCAAUCAUACGCAGCAAUGUAGCACACCCCUACCAAUGAAAAAGGCUUGAAAUUGAAAUGCUUUGGCUGUUGUCAAAACCAUUUGUCACCCAUGUCAAGUGAUGAAAAUAAGUGCCAGCUAGUAAGUUAUUUUUAUUCAUUGCAAUGUUCUACUUGUUAUGUGCAAGCUUUAGCAUUACCAUUUUAGCAGAAUGCAGUGGGCGAAAUUAGGACAGAAGUGCUGGAUGCAAUGUUGGGCUUUGCUAUGUUCAAACCAGAAAACCGAUCUCAAUGCCACUUGCAUUCUUUUAACAAUUUUUUGUGUGUGGUUAGCAAUGCCGAUUUUUCAUGAAGUGCUCAGUUGUACCAUUGUUGUAUUUUGUUACACUCAUUCUUGAUCUUGUGCCAGUUAUGUCUGUAAUGUAUAGUGCACAGUUUUGCACACAGCCUUUAUGACAUUCCUACAUUUUGCGAGGUCAAUAAAGGCCAGAAGUGAAAACAAAACGCUUGUC